rnacentral:rRNA from 1 species
UCGGGAAUUUUGGGCAAUGGGCGAAAGCCUGACCCAGCAACGCCGCGUGAAGGAUGAAGUAUUUCGGUAUGUAAACUUCGAAAGAAUAGGAAGAAUAAAUGACGGUACUAUUUAUAAGGUCCGGCUAACUACGUGCCAGCAGCCGCGGUAAUACGUAGGGACCAAGCGUUGUUCGGAUUUACUGGGCGUAAAGGGCGCGUAGGCGGCAAUUCAAGUCAUCUGUGAAAUCUCCGGGCUUAACUCGGAACGGUCAGAUGAUACUGCUUUGCUAGAGUGCAGAAGGGGCAAUCGGAAUUCUUGGUGUAGCGGUGAAAUGCGUAGAUAUCAAGAGGAACACCUGAGGUGAAGACGGGUUGCUGGGCUGACACUGACGCUGAGGCGCGAAAGCCAGGGGAGCAAACGGGAUUAGAUACCCGCGUAGUCCCUGAGCGGGCUGGCAAGGCGCAU